AGCGGCGGACGGGUUAGUAACGCGUGGGAACGUACCCUUGUCUACGGAAUAGCCAUUGGAAACGAUGAGUAAUACCGUAUACGCCCUUCGGGGGAAAGAUUUAUCGGACAAGGAUCGGCCCGCGUUAGAUUAGAUAGUUGGUGGGGUAAUGGCCUACCAAGUCUACGAUCUAUAGCUGGUUUUAGAGGAUGAUCAGCAACACUGGGACUGAGACACGGCCCAGACUCCUACGGGAGGCAGCAGUGGGGAAUCUUAGACAAUGGGCGCAAGCCUGAUCUAGCCAUGCCGCGUGUGUGAUGAAGGCCUUAGGGUCGUAAAGCACUUUCGCCAGGGAUGAUAAUGACAGUACCUGGUAAAGAAACCCCGGCUAACUCCGUGCCAGCAGCCGCGGUAAUACGGAGGGGGUUAGCGUUGUUCGGAAUUACUGGGCGUAAAGCGUACGUAGGCGGAUCAGAAAGUAUGGGGUGAAAUCCCGAGGCUCAACCUCGGAACUGCCUCAUAAACUCCUGGUCUUGAGUUCGAGAGAGGUGAGUGGAAUUCCAAGUGUAGAGGUGAAAUUCGUAGAUAUUUGGAGGAACACCAGUGGCGACGCGGCUCACUGGCUCGAUACUGACGCUGAGUACGAAAGUGUGGGGAGCAACAGGAUUAGAUACCCUGUUAGUCCACACCGA
rnacentral:rRNA from 1 species